UAAACAUUAAGAUGAACCAGGCGACCAUCACAUGUGUGAUUAGGUCUUUAAUCCUCUCUGCUGCUCAGAUUUGCAGUAUUUUGUUUUGUCAUUUUCUGAAACCAACAAUCUGACAAUCAUGUCUUCCUCACCAGCAACUGGACACAUGUGAAGAUAUAACGUUUAACAACAAGGACGACCAUUUGGCGGAUUUGAACUAAUGCUGCGGCUGAAGACAACAACCUCAAUUUUGACUUUCAGACUUUGGCUGUGACUUCUACAUUUACCAUGGCUCCAGGCGACUGGCAACUUCCCAGAGAUCUGCCGGGUUGAGGGGGAGGAAAAAACUCUGAGCUGCCCCCCCAAACCCUUACUGGAGGGAGCGGAGCCAUGUGGGUUAUUUCUCAGACCCAGAGGAGGCUGCCAGUGUUACAGCUCAGCACUGUAACACAGUGAGACGCGUCUGAUUCUGUCCGCUCAUGUUGAGCUUUUUUUUUUCCUGCAUGGCCGUGCACCACAUGCAGACACAGAGCUGCAGCCUGCACAUAGAGGGCACUCUUGGCAUGUUUUUAUCUCUGCAUUCCCACCAUGUAAUACCACUGGGAAGUUAUUUAUAGGUAUAGCUUCAAAGGAGGAGAGAACAAGUUCCAUCAAAGUGAUUUUGCAUUUGUGCGAGACUGCUUUGCGUCCUUUGUCCACAUCUCCAUGCACUGUUUCCUAAUUUCGGUCAUUAAAGAAGAGAAAGUUCCACGAUGCUACAUGUUGGAUCUGAUAACUCCAUAAGGUCUGAAACGUCUCUGUUGCAGUGAGGUAGUUAAGUACAUCCACACAGACGGAGGAUUCUUGUUUUAUUUUGGACAGCUGGAAGAAGAAACUGUGUCAUUGUCACACACAGUCUCUCUCAGAGAGUGGGAGGCAACAUUUGUGGACUCUUGUCAGUGCUGAGGGGGAUUUUUUAUUUUCUUUUUCUGUACUUUUUGGUUUAUGGACAGAUUUUUGUGCUGGAGAACUGUCAGCCUGACUGUGAAUUAGUGUUGGGUAUAAAAGCUCAAAAACAAGAAAACAAACUCUUUGGGAUCAAUCAUCAUCAGUCAUCAUGUCACCCUCUGCAGCCGGCUGUACAAUCACUGAUUAUACUCUUCAUCAAGCUCUGUUUUUUUAUUUCGGAACAAGUCAGCUGUCCAAAGUUUAGUCACCAUCCCACAGCACAACAAACAAACAAGGCCGUGGGAAAGAAGACAGGCAGCUCCCACCGGUGAAAUGCUGAAACAGGUUGUCCUCAGAAUGUUGUG